rnacentral:rRNA from 1 species
UGGGGAAUUUUCCGCAAUGGGCGAAAGCCUGACGGAGCAAUGCCGCGUGGAGGUGGAAGGCCUACGGGUCGUCAACUUCUUUUCUCGGAGAAGAAACAAUGACGGUAUCUGAGGAAUAAGCAUCUGCUAACUCUGUGCCAG